GAGUUUGAUUAUGGCUCAGGACAAACGCUGGCGGCGUGCAUAACACAUGCAAGUCGAACGAAAUCUACAUGAUUUAGUGGCGAACGGGUGAGUAACACGUGAGAAACCUGCCUUACACAGAGGGAUAGCCGUUGGAAACGACGAUUAAUACCUCAUGACACCGUGACAUCGCAUGAUGAUGCGGUCAAAGAUUUAUCGGUGUAAGAUGGUCUCGCGCCUGAUUAGCUGGUUGGUGGGGUAACGGCCUACCAAGGCGACGAUCAGUAGCCGAUCUGAGAGGGUGGACGGCCACAUUGGGACUGAGACACGGCCCAAACUCCUACGGGAGGCAGCAGUGGGGAAUUUUGCACAAUGGGGGAAACCCUGAUGCAGCGACGCCGCGUGAACGAAGAAGGCCUUCGGGUUGUAAAGUUCUGUCCCUUGGUGAAGAUAAUGACCGUACCAGAGAAGC
rnacentral:rRNA from 1 species